rnacentral:rRNA from 1 species
UACGUAGGUGGCAAGCGUUACUCGGAAUUACUAGGCGUAAAGAGUAUGUAGGCGGUUGGUUAAGUCUGUCGUUAAAUCUCCACGCUUAACGUGGAGUCGCCGACAGAUACUGAUCAGCUUGAGUUUGGGAGAGGUGACUGGAAUUCCCGGUGUAGCGGUGAAAUGCGUAGAGAUCGGGAGGAACACCAAUGGCGAAGGCAGGUCACUGGACCAAUACUGACGCUGAGAUACGAAAGCUAGGGGAGCAAACAGGAUUAGAACCGUACGUCGUG